rnacentral:rRNA from 1 species
GACGUAGGGGACGAGCGUUGUCCGGAUUCAUUGGGCGUAAAGCGCGCGCAGGCGGCCUUUUAAGUCUGGCGGUGAAAUGCCGGGGCUCAACCCCGUUGCAUGCCGCGGAUACUGGGAGGCUGGAGACGAGUAGAGGCAAGCGGAAUUCCGGGUGUAGCGGUGGAAUGCGUAGAGAUCCGGAAGAACACCGGAGGCGAAGGCGGCUUGCUGGGCUUGGUCUGACGCUGAGGCGCGAAAGCGUGGGGAGCGAACAGG